rnacentral:rRNA from 1 species
AUGGCGGCGGGGGGCGUGUGGGUGUUCAAGAACGGAGUGAUGGAGCUGGAGCAGGAGGCGACGAGCAGGAAGUCGCUGGUGUACGUGCCGGGGAACGAGACGAUGAGGUCGCUGGAGGCGCUGGAGCGGCGGCUGGGGUCGCUGGGGUGGGAGCGCUACUACGAGGACCGCGCCAUCGUGCAGCUCCACAAGCGCGGCGGCGUCGACCUCAUCUCCCUUCCCCGGGACUUCUCCCGGCUCCGCUCCACCCACAUGUAUGACGUCGUCGUCAAGAACCGCGAGCACUUCAAGGUCGUCGACCUCUAG